ACGGGUGAGUAAUACAUCGGAACGUGCCCUGUAGUGGGGGAUAACUAGUCGAAAGAUUAGCUAAUACCGCAUACGACCUGAGGGUGAAAGUGGGGGACCGCAAGGCCUCAUGCUAUAGGAGCGGCCGAUGUCUGAUUAGCUAGUUGGUGAGGUAAAGGCUCACCAAGGCGACGAUCAGUAGCUGGUCUGAGAGGACGAUCAGCCACACUGGGACUGAGACACGGCCCAGACUCCUACGGGAGGCAGCAGUGGGGAAUUUUGGACAAUGGGCGAAAGCCUGAUCCAGCAAUGCCGCGUGUGUGAAGAAGGCCUUCGGGUUGUAAAGCACUUUUGUCCGGAAAGAAAUGGCUCUGGUUAAUACCUGGGGUCGAUGACGGUACCGGAAGAAUAAGGACCGGCUAACUACGUGCCAGCAGCCGCGGUAAUACGUAGGGUCCAAGCGUUAAUCGGAAUUACUGGGCGUAAAGCGUGCGCAGGCGGUUGUGCAAGACCGAUGUGAAAUCCCCGAGCUUAACUUGGGAAUUGCAUUGGUGACCGCACGGCUAGAGUGUGUCAGAGGGGGGUAGAAUUCCACG
rnacentral:rRNA from 1 species